rnacentral:rRNA from 1 species
GACGAACGCUGGCGGCGUGCCUAAUACAUGCAAGUAGAACGCACAGGAUGCACCGUAGCUUACUACACCGUAUUCUGUGAGUUGCGAACGGGUGAGUAACGCGUAGGUAACCUGCCUGGUAGCGGGGGAUAACUAUUGGAAACGAUAGCUAAUACCGCAUAAGAACAUUUACUGCAUGGUAGAUGUUUAAAAGGUGCAAGAGCAUCACUACCAGAUGGACCUGCGUUGUAUUAGCUAGUUGGUGAGGUAACGGCUCACCAAGGCAACGAUACAUAGCCGACCUGAGAGGGUGAUCGGCCACACUGGGACUGAGACACGGCCCAGACUCCUACGGGAGGCAGCAGUAGGGAAUCUUCGGCGAUGGGGGGAACCCUGACCGAGCAACGCCGCGUGAGUGAAGAAGGUUUUCGGAUCGUAAAGCUCUGUUGUUAAGGAAGAACGUGUGUGAGAGUGGAAAGUUCACACAGUGACG